UAAGGAAUAUUGGUCAAUGGACGCAAGUCUGAACCAGCCAUGCCGCGUGGAGGAUGAAGGUCCUCUGGAUUGUAAACUUCUUUUAUCUGGGAAGAAAUCCAAGAUUUCUAUUUUGGUUGACGGUACCAGAUGAAUAAGCACCGGCUAACUCCGUGCCAGCAGCCGCGGUAAUACGGAGGGUGCAAGCGUUAUCCGGAUUCACUGGGUUUAAAGGGUGCGUAGGUGGGUUGGUAAGUCAGUGGUGAAAUCCCCGAGCUUAACUUGGGAACUGCCAUUGAUACUAUCAGUCUUGAAUACCGUGGAGGUCAGCGGAAUAUGUCAUGUAGCGGUGAAAUGCUUAGAUAUGACAUAGAACACCAAUUGCGAAGGCAGCUGGCUACACGAAUAUUGACACUCAGGCACGAAAGCGUGGGGAUCAAACAGGAUUAGAUACCCUGGUAGUCCACGCCCUAAACGAUGGAUACUCGACAUUUGCGAU
rnacentral:rRNA from 1 species